AGCUCCGCGCCACGCGGACCCACCGAGCCCGCGCUCAGACGCCCCAGCUCCGCCGAGAGGCCGCUCGCGCCGUGUCCUUCCUCUUCCCCAAGUUCAGGCAGAGCCCCCGGAGCCAUGGCCAGCCCUUCCAGCAGCUCCGAAGACACUGGCAAGCCCCGAGGCAGGGAUGGCCGGCCCAGAAGGGAGGAGGAGGAGGACGUCCCUCCCGAAGAGAAGAGGCUGGGGCUGUAGCUGGAGGGGGGAAGCGCACAGCCCGAGGACUGCGAGGACAGGGAGGACCCGCCGCUGCCGGGCACGAAGGAGACCGGCACCCAGACAGGUGGCGACGGCAAAGGAGUGCAGGCAGAGCCCCCGAGCCAUGGCCAGCCCUUCCGGCAGCUCCGAAGCCACUGGCAAGCCCCGAGGCAGGGAUGGCCGGCCCAGGAGGGAGGAGGACGACGUCCCUCCGGAAGAGAAGAGGCUGCGGCUGUAGCUGGAGAGGGGAAGCGCACAGCCCGAGGACUGCGAGAACGGGGAGGACGCGCCGCGGCCAGGCAGGGAGGAGACCGGCACCCAGACAGGUGGCGACCGCAGAGGAGUGCAGUGGUUCACACCUGUAAUCCCAGCACUUUGGGAGGCCGAGGCUGGCGGAUCACCUAAGGUCAGGAGUUCGAGACCAGCCUGGUCAACAUGGCAAAACUGUCUCUACUAAAAAUACAGAAAUUAGCCAGGUGUGAUGGCACACACCUGCAAUCCCAGCUACUUGGGAGGCUGAGGCAGGAGAAUCGUUUGCACCUGGGAGACAGAGGUUGCAGUCAGCCGAGAUGGAACCACUGUACUUCAGCCAGCCUGGGUGACAGAGCGAGACUCUGUUUCAAAAAUAAAUAAAUAAAUAAAAUAGAAUUCUGAAUUUUAUUUUUAACAAUU